AUUGAACGAUGUCGGCAGGCCUAACACAUGCAAGUAGAACGAGUGGCGGACGGGUGAGUAAUGUAUGGGAAACUGCCCGAUGGAGGGGGAUAACUACUGGAAACGGUAGCUAAUACCGCAUCCCAUAGGCUGUGCCAAGAUGGGAGUAGCUAGUAGGUGGGGUAACGGCUCACCUAGGCGACGAUACCUAGCUGGUCUGAGCGGAUGACCAGCCACACUGGAACUGAGACACGGUCCAGACUCCUACGGGAGGCAGCAGUGGGGAAUAUUGCACAAUGGGCGCAAGCCGGAUACAGCCAUGCCGCGUGUAUGAAGAAGGCCUUCGGGUUGUAAAGUACUUUCAGCGAGGAGGCGUUACUCGCAGAAGAAGCACCGGCUAACUCCGUGCCAGCAGCCGCGGUAAUUC
rnacentral:rRNA from 1 species